CUCUUUUCCCAUUCCCAGCCUACUCUGAUAUUUUUUUCCCAUUCUCCUUCUUGUCUCUUUCUCUUCCCUUUUCCCUAGCCGCCACUCCCGUAACCACCAUCAUCCUUAGCUCCGACCACCUAUCCACCAUCCUCACAACCCUUUCUCUCCGAGCCAAGCUCCAAAUCUCAGGCACCCGUGAACCCAACCCCCAAACCAAGUGACCCCAGGUGCGAGCCCACCUCUGCGUGACUUCGACCCAGUGCGACUUCCAUUCGCGGGCCACCACCAGGCACAAUUCUACUCCCGUUCCGAUGUAGAGCCCCGAGUGUGCACCAAGCGAGGGCCUAGAUUCCACAAGCCCAGGCGCGAUUCUGCACCCGUUCCACUAUAGAGCCCCGUUUCUGAUGUUCCAGAGAAAACAAUCAUCUUAUAACUCUUCGGAUGAGAAGUUUGAGAUUCGGAAAGAGACGUACAGGGGUCAACAGUAUAGUCAGAUUAACUUUGCUCGUCUUCACAUGUUGAGGACUAUUCUCUAUUCCCUUGCUCCUAAUUGGAAACCUCAUUUACCAGUACGUACUGUUUUGGAAUUAGAAGAGGGGAAGGAAUGCAUAGUAGUUGGAACCUUGUACAAGCACAUGAAACUCAAACCUUCAAUUCUUGAGGAGUAAGGAGGUUUGUAGGCGUGAUGGUGGUGGUGUUGAGGGUUCAUGGUAGUGGCUCAAAGGGCAAAGGGUGGUGUCUUCUUCAUAUCAAUGUCUGGGUUGUUGAGUGAUGCCGAGAUAAGAUUUUAUUUUCAUUUAAAAAUGGGUUUGUAAAUUUGAUUAUUUUACUUUUGAGAAUAACUUGUGUGUUUCAUAUUUCUUUAUGUUUUGAGUUUACUAAUUAUUUUUAAAGAUUUAUCUAUGGUUGAGUAUGUUAAAUCUUUUA